rnacentral:rRNA from 1 species
CCUACGGGAGGCAGCAGUGAGGAAUAUUGGUCAAUGGACGAGAGUCUGAACCAGCCAAGUAGCGUGAAGGAUGACUGCCCUAUGGGUUGUAAACUUCUUUUAUAUGGGAAUAAAACGUUCCACGUGUGGGAUUUUGUAUGUACCAUAUGAAUAAGGAUCGGCUAACUCCGUGCCAGCAGCCGCGGUAAUACGGAGGAUCCGAGCGUUAUCCGGAUUUAUUGGGUUUAAAGGGAGCGUAGGUGGAUUGUUAAGUCAGUUGUGAAAGUUUGCGGCUCAACCGUAAAAUUGCAGUUGAAACUGGCAGUCUUGAGUACAGUAGAGGUGGGCGGAAUUCGUGGUGUAGCGGUGAAAUGCUUAGAUAUCACGAAGAACUCCGAUUGCGGAGGCAGUUCACUGGACUGCAACUGACACUGAGGCUCGAAAGUGUGGGUAUCAAACAGGAUUAGAUACCCUUGUAGUC